rnacentral:rRNA from 1 species
AUUGAACGCUGGCGGCAUGCCUAACACAUGCAAGUCGAACGAGCACUUUCGGGUGCUAGUGGCGCACGGGUGCGUAACGCGUGGGAAUCUGCCCUGGGGUACGGAAUAACUCAGAGAAAUUUGAGCUAAUACCGUAUGAUGACGUAAGUCCAAAGAUUUAUCGCCCUGGGAUGAGCCCGCGUUGGAUUAGCUAGUUGGUGGGGUAAGAGCCUACCAAGGCGACGAUCCAUAGCUGGUCUGAGAGGAUGAUCAGCCACACUGGGACUGAGACACGGCCGAGACUCCUACGGGAGGCAGCAGUGGGGAAUAUUGGACAAUGGGCGCAAGCCUGAUCCAGCAAUGCCGCGUGAGUGAUGAAGGCCUUAGGGUUGUAAAGCUCUUUUACCCGGGAAGAUAAUGACUGUACCGGGAGAAUAAGCCCCGGCUAACUCCGUGCCAGCCGCCGCAGUAA